rnacentral:lncRNA from 1 species
GUGCGCGCGUCUCAUGUGUGAUGCGUGUUUUAGUUCCGGAAACUUACAGAUACGUAUGUACAUUAUAAACUGUUUGUCAUUCGAAGUUUUUAGAUCCAGUCUUCCACUGGAGCUGUUCCCGUCCGCUUUGUGGUCCAGUUGCUGCACUUCAAACUCCUGCUUUCCGUUAAAUCAAGAUUUGUUAGACAUUAUUUCUUUGAGUGUUGAUUGGAGACAAACAGAACAGUCACACUGCUUCUUCACAAAUGGCACAGCACUACUACCCCCACCUCCACCUGCCGUAGCCAUGGAAAUGCCACCCAAUCCAGAGCCUAGGAAAUACAGGGAGGGCCCUCCUUCCAACUCUCUCACACACACGGCAUGAUUCAAACGAGUGAGACUACACUCUGCAGUAACCAUAGCCUUAGCAACCGUCAAAGCUAUUAUAUGGACAGAUGGUCAUGGGUGAAGUGUGUAAUAUUUUUAGUGUUAAAACAAUAUCUCCU